rnacentral:tRNA from 1 species
AACAUUGAAGUAAAAAUUACAUAUAGUUUCGACCUAUAGAUUAAAGAAAAUUUCUUUCAUGUUU